rnacentral:lncRNA from 9 species
CUUUCCUGAGAGUGGGUGCUUCUCAUUUCUUCCCUGGAGCACAUUGUCAGUGAUGGACUAUGGAGGAGAAGCCCUCAGAGACUAAAAAUAUAACAUUAGUGGUUAAAAGAGCAGACAACAGAGGCAGAACAAGUUGGUUCUGAGUCAAACUGACAGGGAUGGAUCCCGAAAGGUCUGUUCUUUCAUUUUAUUGUUUGGAAAUUUUUACGUUUUUUCUUUCUUUUCCAGGUUUCCUUGCUGUGCUCCUCUGAUGGAUGUGCAAGAUCAAGGAAUAUUCGGCAGGAGGGCGAGAGGGAGAGAAGUCUCCCGGGGAGAUGCAGACCAGUACAGUGGAUAUUAAGCUGACUUGGGAAAGUCAGCUCGGAGUGUGUUCUGGUAUGAUGGGAAGAUUUCAGCUAUUUGGGGGUGACAGUGGGUCUAGCAAGAGCCAAGCAAGACAUUAAUUCUAAAGUGGCUUGGGGAACGAGGCAACGCGCCAAGAACACUCAGGCACAGCAAACAAAACAGACACCACUGAUCAAGACUGGACUCAAAAUGGCACCUGGGUUUCUAGAACAGAGGGAAGUGUCCAUGGACCCUUUCACCUCUGUGCCUUUGCUCAUGCUCUUCCUUCUGGCCGAUUCCUACUAGACCCUCCUCUAUGACGGCCGAACUUCAGCCUUUUCUCCUUCCUUGCAGAAACUGAUUGCCUGUCAACUGAUCAUCUAUCUUCAGGAACUCAUUCAACACAUGACCUCCUCCUUGCCUUUCGCUUAGUGACUUUCCCUCCCAACCUGGCACAACUUAAUAAAGAAUCAAAGUGUUCUUCAACUGAGACUGCCAAUUUACCUACACGGUCACAAGUAAAUGCCUAGCAAGAGUGCCAGUGAGCAUAUCUCUAAAUCAGUCAGUAUUCAUUUCAAGAAAAAUACCAUAUGCUGAUAUUUAAAAUAUUCAGUGAUGUUUUUAAAAGAUGAAUGUUUUCAUCACGUGCUUUUCCCUCAAGUAUUUUG